rnacentral:rRNA from 1 species
GAUACCCUAUUAUUGUAAAUGUGAAAGUUUAAACUGGAAUUAUUACUAGCUAUGAUCUUCAAAGUUAAAUAUUUUGGCGGUAUUUUAGUCUUUUCAGAGGAACCUGUUUUUUAAUUGAUAAUCCACGAUUAAUUGUACUUUAUCUUUAAAUUUAUAUAUCGUCGUGAAAAAACAUUUUACAAGGAUUAUAAUGUUUGGGAUUUUCAAUUAUAAGUUAAUUCAGAUCAAGGUGUAGUUGAUGUUAAAGUAAAAAUGGGUUACAUUAAGUUUAUUUAUGGUUUAUUAUUUGAAAAUUGAUAAUAAAUUGGAUUUGAAAGUAAUUAUUAUAUUUUUGUAUUGUGACUAAGCUCUAAAAUAUGCACACAUCGCC